rnacentral:rRNA from 1 species
CCAAUAGCGUAUAUUAAAGUUGUUGCAGUUAAAAAGCUCGUAGUUGAAUUUCGGGAUCAAUUUAUUGGUCGUACCUUUGGUACGUACUGAUUUUAUUGGUUUCUCCCUUCUGACGAUCCAUGAUGUCAUUAAUUUUGGUGUCUUGGGGAAUCAGGACUGUUACUUUGAAAAAAUUAGAGUGUUUAAAGCAGGCUCACGCUUGAAUACAUUAGCAUGGAAUAAUGAAAUAGGACGUUUAAUUCUAUUUUGUUGGUUUCUAGGAUUGACGUAAUGAUUAAUAGGGAUAGUUGGGGGCAUUAGUAUUCAAUUGUCAGAGGUGAAAUUCUUGGAUUUAUUGAAGACUAACUACUGCGAAAGCAUUUGCCAAGGAUGUUUUCAUUAAUCAAGAACGAAAGUUAGGGGAUCGAAGACGAUCAGAUACCGUCGUAGUCUUAACCAUAAACUAUGCCGACUAGGGAUCGGAUGAUGUUGAUUUUUUAAUGACUCAUUCGGCGCCUUACG